GUGUGGGUCUCCUCCAUGGCCUGCAGGUGGAUCUCUGCAUCCCUGUGCUCCUCUAUGGCCUGCAGAGGCACAGCUGCUCCACCAUGGGCUGUGCCAGAGGCUGAAGGGGAAUCUCACCUCUGGGAGGCAUUACUAUCAUUCCUGAGGGAAUAGGCCUUAGCCAGAAGCAGGUCCAUCAUGGAGCCAGCUGGCACUGGCUCUGCUGAAUGUGAGGGGAGCUUCCGGCAGAAUCUCACAGAAGCCAUCCUGCAUCCUCCUCACUACCAAAACCACACCAUGCAAACCUGCGGCCACAGCUUUCUUUACAAGGAGCAGCAGGAACAAGUUCUCCAAGGAGUUUUCCUGGGAAGGCAAUGAGAAGCACAGAGAGAAGAGAAAACAAUUAUUAUCUCUA